GACGAACGCUGGCGGCGUGCUUAACACAUGCAAGUCGAACGGAAAGGCCCUGCUUUUGUGGGGUGCUCGAGUGGCGAACGGGUGAGUAACACGUGAGUAACCUGCCCUUGACUUUGGGAUAACUUCAGGAAACUGGGGCUAAUAUCGGAUAGGAGCUCCUGCUGCAUGGUGGGGGUUGGAAAGUUUCGGCGGUUGGGGAUGGACUCGCGGCUUAUCAGCUUGUUGGUGGGGUAGUGGCUUACCAAGGCUUUGACGGGUAGCCGGCCUGAGAGGGUGACCGGCCACAUUGGGACUGAGGUACGGCCCAGACUCCUACGGGAGGCAGCAGUGGGGAAUAUUGCACAGUGGGCGGAAGCCUGAUGCAGCAGCGCCGCGUGCGGGAUGACGGCCUUCGGGUUAUAAACCGCUUUCGCCUGUGACGAAGCGUGAGUGACGGUAAUGGGUAAAGAAGCACCGGCUAACUACGUG
rnacentral:rRNA from 1 species